rnacentral:pre_miRNA from 9 species
UCGCGAUAGCGUAAAAGUUAAUCCAAAUGAGUAUGAGUUUGGAACGUUUGCAUACGUUUGCCGCUAGAGGUGCUGUUCCAAUUGCAUACAAAUUCGAGUUAACUUUUACGCUAUCGA